UACGUAGGGGGCUAGCGUUGUCCGGAUUUAUUGGGCGUAGAGAGCGUGUAGGCGGCCAGGUAGGUCUGGUGUGAAAACUCGAGGCUUAACCUCGAGAUGUCAUCGGAAACCAUUUGGCUAGAGUCCGGAAGAGGAGAGUGGAAUUCCUGGUGUAGCGGUGAAAUGCGCAGAUAUCAGGAAGAACACCAAUGGCGAAAGCAGCUCUCUGGGACGGUACUGACGCUGAGACGCGAAAGCGUGGGGAGCGAACAGG
rnacentral:rRNA from 1 species